GAUCAUGGCUCAGGAUGAACGCUAGCUACAGGCUUAACACAUGCAAGUCGAGGGGCAUCAGGGUGUAGCAAUACACCGCUGGCGACCGGCGCACGGGUGAGUAACACGUAUCCAACCUGCCCUUUACUCGGGGAUAGGCCUUUCGAAAGUAAAGAUUAAUACCCGAUGGCAUAACAUGACCUCCUGGUUUUGUUAUUAAAGAAUUUCGGUAGAGGAUGGGGAUGCGUUCCAUUAGGCAGUUGGCGGGGUAACG
rnacentral:rRNA from 1 species